UUUCCGUAGGUGAACCUGCGGAAGGAUCAUUAUUGAAUCCAAAGGAUGUUGCUGGCCUUUCGGGGCAUGUGCACUCCACCUUUUCAAUACACCUGUGAACUUAGUGUAGGUGCAGAUGUAAAAAGUCUGUUGCCUACGUUUUUAAUACACCCUUAAAAAGUAUAUUGAAUGUUUAAUUGUGGCCUUUGAUGGUCAACAAACUUAAUACAACUUUCAACAAUGGAUCUCUUGGUUCUC
rnacentral:misc_RNA from 1 species